rnacentral:rRNA from 1 species
AAGUCUAAAACGACUCUCGGCAACGGAUAUCUCGGCUCUCGCAUCGAUGAAGAACGCAGCGAAAUGCGAUACUUGGUGUGAAUUGCAGAAUCCCGUGAACCAUCGAGUCUUUGAACGCAAGUUGCGCCCCAAGCCUUCUGGCCGAGGGCACGUCUGCCUGGGUGUCACA